GCUUGUAGUCCUCUGGGUGGGGGAGCUGCGCUCCGCAGCUGUCGGCCUUGGGGGCGCUCUGGUCCCUGUGACUGCAGCGGGCGGAGCCUAGGACGGGUGAUGGCUGCUGUGGCUGUGGCUGUUCGCGAGGACUCGGGAUCUGGGAUGAAGGCGGAGCUUGCUUCUCGGCCAGGGGCAGGGGGGAGGGAGAUGACCCAAGAAGAAAAGCUGCAGCUUCGGAAAGAAAAGAAACAGCAAAAGAAGAAACGGAAGGAGGAAAAGGGGACAGAACCAGAAACUGGCUCUGCUGUGUCUGCAGCCCAAUGUCAAGUAGGCCCGACCAAAGACCUGCCAGGACCGGACAGUCAGUUGGGCACUGCCAAGGAGAAAAUUCCAGCAGGUCGGAGUAAAGCUGAACUUCGAGCUGAACGGCGAGCGAAGCAAGAGGCUGAGCGGGCCCUGAAGCAGGCAAGAAAAGGGGAACAAGGAGGGCCCCCUCCUCAGUCCUGCCCCAGCACAGCUGGAGAAACCCCUCAAGGAGUGAAGCGGCUACCUGAGCACACCCAGGUUGAUGAACCCACACUUCUGAGAAGGCUUGUUAAACGGCCCGAGCGACAGCAGGUUCCAACACGAAAGGAUUAUGGCUCCAAAGUCAGUCUCUUCUCCCACCUACCCCAGUACAGCAGACACAACUCUCUGACCCAGUUUAUGAGCAUCCCAUCCUCUGUGAUCCACCCAGCCAUGGUGCGGCUCGGCCUGCAGUACUCCCAGGGCCUGAUCAGCGGCUCCAACGCCCGGUGCAUCGCCCUGCUUCGUGCCUUGCAGCAGGUGAUUCAGGACUACACGACACCACCCAAUGAAGAACUCUCAAGGGACCUGGUGAAUAAACUAAAGCCCUACUUCAGCUUCCUGACUCAGUGCCGCCCCCUGUCAGCGAGCAUGUACAACGCCAUCAAGUUUCUGAACAAGGAGAUCACGGGUGUGAGCAGCUCCAAGCGGGAAGAGGAGGCCAAGUCAGAACUUCGAGCAGCCAUUGAUCAGUAUGUGCAAGAGAAGAUCGUGCUUGCAGCUCAGGCGAUCUCACGCUUUGCUUAUGAGAAGAUCAGCAACGGAGAUGUGAUCCUGGUGUAUGGAUGCUCCUCUCUGGUGUCACGCAUUCUUCAGGAGCCUGGACGAAGGGCCGGCGGUUUCGGGUGGUAGUGGUGGACAGCCGGCCACGGCUGGAGGGCAAGCACACGCUGCGUUCUCUGGUCCGUGUGGGGGUCCCAGUCUCCUACCUGCUGAUUCCUGCAGCUUCCUAUGUUCUCCCAGAGGUUUCUAAGGUGCUAUUGGGAGCUCAUGCUCUCCUGGCCAAUGGGUCUGUGAUGUCACGGGUAGGGACGGCGCAGCUGGCCCUAGUGGCCCGGGCCAACAACGUGCCAGUGCUGGUCUGCUGUGAAACAUACAAGUUCUGUGAGCGGGUGCAGACUGAUGCCUUUGUCUCUAAUGAACUAGAUGACCCUGACGAUCUGCUGUGUGAGCGAGGAGAACACGUGGCCCUGGCUAACUGGCAGAACCACGCAUCCCUGCGGUUGUUGAAUCUGGUCUAUGAUGUGACCCCCCCAGAACUGGUGGAUCUGGUGAUCACGGAGCUGGGGAUGAUCCCUUGCAGCUCUGUACCUGUUGUCCUACGAGUCAAGAGUAGUGACCAGUGAGUGGGGGAACACUGGGUUAAUAAAUGACAUACUCCCUACACUCAGCAA